rnacentral:rRNA from 1 species
UACGUAGGCAGCGAGCGUUGUUCGGAAUUACUGGGCGUAAAGAGCUUGUAGGCGGUUUGUCGCGUCUGCCGUGAAAAUCCGGGGCUCAACCCCGGACUUGCGGUGGGUACGGGCAGACUAGAGUGUGGUAGGGGAGACUGGAAUUCCUGGUGUAGCGGUGAAAUGCGCAGAUAUCAGGAGGAACACCGAUGGCGAAGGCAGGUCUCUGGGCCACUACUGACGCUGAGAAGCGAAAGCGUGGGGGAGCGAACAGG